rnacentral:rRNA from 1 species
UACGGAGGGUGCAAGCGUUAAUCGGAAUUACUGGGCGUAAAGCGUGCGCAGGCGGUUGUGCAAGACCGAUGUGAAAUCCCCGGGCUUAACCUGGGAAUGGCAUUGGUGACUGUACGGCUAGAGUGUGUCAGAGGGGAGUAGAAUUCCACGUGUAGCAGUGAAAUGCGUAGAGAUGUGGAGGAAUACCGAUGGCGAAGGCAGCCCCCUGGGAUAACACUGACGCUCAUGCACGAAAGCGUGGGGAGCAAACAGG